GGCCACAUUUUCAGCUAAAAAUCUUCUUUGCUGUUCUGCUGAAGAAAAAUACUCAUGAACAUCUUGGGUGGCGUAAGGAUCUUUGCAGGAUUCAGUCGCAUAUCUCGGAUCUGAGUUCUGCGCAGCACUGGACACAGACUCUGCACUUUUGACAUUUUCUAUAAAAAAGGAUUUAAAAUUUCACAUCAAGUUAAUUAAAAGGUAUCUCUUUAUCAUGUUGACUGUAGUUGUCAUCUUUAAAUCAUGAUUUGCUUAUGAUUGUUAUCCUCAGCCUGUCUCUAUUUUUUCAUAGUCAUCUGAUGUUUCCACUGCAGUACUUCAGGACCUUUCAGUCAUCCUGGAGGAUGACCCAGAGGAAUUUUACAGGAUGUGUUUCGAUGUGGAUGCAGACUUCAGUCAAGCAGUUGUAGACCUGCUCACAGUUCUACCAGAAGACAUGCCCUCAUUGUGGAUGCAAUAAAGGCAAUCAUGGAGGGAAGAAUUGUCAUGGAUGGGUUUUAAAGGCCUGUAUUUUAUUUUUGCUGUUCUGUUUGCAUGCCAUUCUGAAAAUGCUCUGUUUAACAGUGUUCCAGUGGGUCCAGAUAAUGUUAUGACAACAAAGUGUUGUUUAGUCAAGAAGUCUGUAAAGAGUAUUAUAAGAACACAGAUGUUUUAAAAGCUAAUUUUUAUUAUUGUGAUAUUCUUAAAGUUUUUUUUACAAUAAACUGUUGAGAAUUUCAAACUUGUGUUAAGUUCAUUUCAUGCUGGUUGAACGAAUAAAAAUACGUUCAGUUUACUUAAAGAAAAUGUGGAAACCGAUUGCACGAAAUGUUUUAAGUUCCCAUAGCUUAAAAUGGCAGAUUAAAUCCAUGUUGAGAAUAACAGCAUUUAAGAUGU